UUCUCACUGGGGUGGGUUGGGGAACCAGGACUUUUACUUUGAAAAAAUUAGAGUGUUCAAAGCAGGCCUUUGCUCGAAUACGUUAGCAUGGAAUAAUAGAAUAGGACGUGCGGUCCUAUUUUGUUGGUUUCUAGGACCGCCGUAAUGAUUAAUAGGGACAGUCGGGGGCAUCAGUAUUCAAUUGUCAGAGGUGAAAUUCUUGGAUUUAUUGAAGACUAACUACUGCGAAAGCAUUUGCCAAGGAUGUUUUCAUUAAUCAGUGAACGAAAGUUAGGGGAUCGAAGACGAUCAGAUACCGUCGUAGUCUUAACCGUAAACUAUGCCGACUAGUCGU
rnacentral:rRNA from 1 species